rnacentral:rRNA from 1 species
UACGUAGGUGGCGAGCGUUGUCCGGAUUUACUGGGCGUAAAGAGCGCGCAGGCGGCUGGUCAAGUCCGAUGUGAAAGCUCCCGGCUUAACUGGGAAAUUGCAUCGGAAACUGAUCGGCUGGAAGGUGGGAGAGGGUAGCGGAAUUCCCGGUGUAGUGGUGAAAUGCGUAGAUAUCGGGAGGAACACCAGUGGCGAAGGCGACUACCUGGCCUGUUCUUGACGCUGAGGCGCGAAAGCUGGGGGAGCAAACGGG